GACUUCAUCGACGAAAUUGAUGUAAAGCUAUAAACAGUACUCCAACAUCUUCUAUUCUUUGACUUGGCAAUUUCCACCUUCAAAAGGCGGGCGGCCAAAUAAUCCCACGCUACUCACGGGUAACUUGCUGAGCCCGAGUAUCUCCUCUCAACCGAAGGACAGGUCCAACGAGGGCCACCAAAAUGGACAAUCUGGCUGCCACGGCUGACGGAGCUUCUAUUUAUUCGCGUACACUCGUGUUCUUUAAAUGAAAGCAUUCAUGCCGAACCAACAUAUCAGGGAGAUGUCAGUGAGCGAUCGUUCACGAGUGAAGUGUUUUAAAAUAGGGCUUUUAAAUGCUUUAAUAUGUUCAGUAUAAAUCUUGCAGUCCUGGACAUGUACUUCAUAGCACUUGUGGGUCUGCAGCUCUUUCUCCACGGAACGGUGCUCUGUGAACCGUCUGAACCCUUCUCGGCGAACCCCUCGAACCCCAAAAUCAUAACUAAUUGCAUCUGCUUGCUUAGGUACAGAUUCAGCUCUUUAAAAGGGACUACAGCAACCAGUACCAGCCAUUUCUUGUGGACGUCAUCGUUAAUAUAUGCGAUAUCCUUUCGAGGAGGAGUUUUAUGCCCUUUGGCGUGAUUUUUAUUAAAGUGGCCAAACGGUUUACGAAUUUCAAUCACUCCUGCCCGUAUGCGGAUCGCCCGCGGCGCCUACCUCGACGAGUCUUAUUUGCCAAACUAUUUUCCAUUAGGUCUAUACAAAAUCAACAUUACCAUUAUGGAGAAUUACCAAACCAGGCCACCAGACCAUGCCGGUGGCAUCGUUUCCAUGUCCAGUCUAUGAUACCAGUGAUGACGAAGAAUAAGAACUGAAUCGUUUUUUAAUGUUGUAAUUCGUUAAAUAAAUGUGGUUUAAAUCGGUUUAUAAUGUUACCCAAGCUGUGAAUACCAGCUUUGCGUAUAAUUUAAUGUAAUUAACAACUAAAUUUACAUUUAAACAUCGUUUAAUUGAGAAAAGUAAAUUGCUUUUUAAAUGGAAACCUAUAUUCACAUACGCAUCUCGAAAUCGGAUUUUAGUUGCAAUUAUGCGUUUGUCAGUGGCUUUACUUGUUGGCGCCUUGCUGAUCUGGAACGUGGUAAUAUAUAAGACGACGAAUUUAGAAUGAUUCACCAUUCCAAAGCUCAGUGCUAAUGCCUCGUGCAUCCUGAAGGCCAUAAACUGGAAUAUGGCCGUGGCCCAGAUGGAUGUGUAUUUUCUGCAGCCUGUGAACAAUAUGACGGUUCGUAUAAAAGUCUUUAAACAAGACUACAGCAAUAAGUAUCAUCCUUUUUUGGUGGAUGUUUUGGUUAAUCUAUGCGACAUUAUUGGCCGAAGAAAUCAUAGCCCUUAUGGAAAGUACAUGUGGAAUCUGAUCAAACGUUAUACCAACUUCAAUCACUCAUGCCCUUUGUGGGGCACAUGUUUGCACGUGAUUUAUUCAUAGAUGAGAGCGUUGUGCCUAUUAAGCUGCCAUUGGGUUACUACCAAGUUUCGCUGACUUCGUUUGAAAACUACAGAGACAAGCCACCCCUAUGUCUGGGUACGAUCAAGUUCUAUGCCCAGUCCAUGAUUCUAGUGACGUCGAAACGAAAUAAAACCAAGCCAAUGAACAGAACCAAUAUCCAGGAUACGCUGCAAACCGCCAUUAUACCCAUACAAAUUGGGAAUUAAGUGGAAUAUGAACUGAAUAUGUUGCCUGAGAAAACUAAUUAGUAAAUCUAGUAAAGUACCAUCCGACACCAGCAGAUGACAGAGACUCCAGUCUCUGGCGGCUUCUGUUUUUGGUUAAUGACGGUAAACUUUUAAAUUUUUAAAAUUGUAUUUUAUUGUUUAUAAUAAAUAUAUAUAUUUAUAUACGUAAAGUAAUAUUAGUUUAAGACUCGUUAUUAUACAUAUUGUAGGCUGCUCAAGAUGCUGAUUUUUAUUCGCUUUCUGUUUAGCUUCGUUUAUCGUUAGACCUUAAUCUAGAAGUAUAUCUU